UAGUAAGAAAGGAAUGGGGUAAGCUGACCUCAUUAAAAUCUCAGAAUUUUUUUAUAGUCUUUACAUUUUUCUAAUAUUUUGUUUUGGUUUUGUUGUUUGGAAUCCCCUAAAUUUUUGUUUUUUUUUGUUUUUGGACCCUCUAAAAUUUUAAGUUUGUGUGUUUAAACUUAAAAUUAAACGCCCUGACCGCCAUCUCUCCAGGGCGUUAAACGAUCGUCACCCCCUGACAGUGUGAGCCCACCACUCCACACUUGUCUGGGUUCGGCUCUGAUACC
rnacentral:lncRNA from 1 species